CGCGUCACAAAAAGAAGAUAAUUUGACAUUGCUUGUGAUAAUUUUUUCUUUAUGAUACCACACGACACAAGCGGGCAGGAUUCGAUUAAAAUGUCGCAGGCAGAUUUUAAACGAAACAAAAAAAAGAACAAUAUAAGAACAAUAACGCAAAAUUAAAAAAUAAUCACAUCGAUCAUGCUCGACAAUAAUCAACGAAAGGAAUAAAAGUGGUUAAAUCGUCGACGCUCGCACAUUUGGAGUUUUACAACACAUAUUCCCUAAAAAUUUCAUCCAACUGCGUAAAUUUUGUAUUUUUAUUAAACUAAUUGAAUUAUUUUUUCACUUUUAGAUGCGGAAUUGAAGUUUCUACGUUAUGUGCGCUCAUUUCUUGCAAGCAAUAAAGGAUUAAAUUCUCAUCACGUAAACGGCUCUGACCAGCAAGAGACCGUAUUUCAUUGGUCACGGCAUUUCCGCGAACGGACUAUGGGGACUACCGUGUAGAUAAAGUGACACAUUAAUGGCGGGUGCGAGAUAAGAGAGGACAAGAACUAACUCUUCGACUUCCCGGCAUAUGAUGUCACGGGAUGUAGUGCAACGUGGAAGGAACGUUUCGGGCGUUUCGAGUUCAAAAAUCGUUAAGAGACGCGUCCUGACCUGUCUUGCAGCUUGGUAGGAUUGGAGUCGGGCUUCUUAAUCUGCGGGAA